UGAAGCCUCUCUGUGGCUCUCCACUGCCUUCAAGAGAAAUUCCACUCACUCACCACAGCUCUUAGGACCUGCACCACGUGGAGUCGGCCUGACUGGGCAGCCUUGUGUCUGGUGAGUCUCGCUGUGGCCCAGCCAUGAAGAAGUGCACGUGCUCUUCCUUCUGUCUAGAAUGUUCUGUCCCUACUUCUUCCUCUAAACCCAGUUUCUAAACUUCCUCCAGAAGGCCUGCUUAGACUGCCCUGUCCCCGGGUCCCCUCCCUUGCCCAGAGCUCCCACAGCCCCUUUUAUCUAAUUUUUGUAUUUUCAGUAGAGAGGGGGCUUCACCAUGUUGGCCAAGCUGGUCUUGAACUCUUGACCUCAGGUGAUCCGCCCGCCUCAGCCUCCCCAAGUGCUGGGAUUACAGGCAUGAG
rnacentral:lncRNA from 1 species